GGAGGGGUGUCUGAGCGGCCGAAAGAACUGGUCUUGAAAACCAGCGUCGGGUUAAACCGACCGUGGGUUCGAAUCCCACCCCCUCCGCCA
rnacentral:tRNA from 1 species